CCGCGUGUGUGAAGAAGGCCUUCGGGUUGUAAAGCACUUUCAGUAGGGAGGAAGGUAGUGUAGUUAACACCUGCAUUAUUUGACGUUCCUACAGAAGAAGCACCGGCUAACUCCGUGCCAGCAGCCGCGGUAAUACGGAGGGUGCGAGCGUUAAUCGGAAUUACUGGCGUAAAGCGCAUGCAGGCGGCCUGUUAAGUCAGAUGUGAAAGCCCGGGGCUUAACCUCGGAAUUGCAUUUGAAACUGGCAGGCUAGAGUCUUGUAGAGGGGGGUAGAAUUUCAGGUGUAGCGGUGAAAUGCGUAGAGAUCUGAAGGAAUACCAGUGGCGAAGGCGGCCCCCUGGACAAAGACUGACGCUCAGAUGCGAAAGCGUGGGGAGCAAACAGGAUUAGAUACCCUGGUAGUCCACGCCGUAAACGAUGUCUACUUGGAGGUUGUGGCCUUGAGCCGUGGCUUUCGGAGCUAACGCGUUAAGUAGACCGCCUGGGGAGUACGGUCGCAAGAUUAAAACUCAAAUGAAUUGACGGGGGCCCGCACAAGCGGUGGAGCAUGUGGUUUAAUUCGAUGCAACGCGAAGAACCUUACCUACUCUUGACAUCCAGAGAAGCUUGAAGAGAUUCGAGUGUGCCUUCGGGAACUCUGAGACAGGUGCUGCAUGGCUGUCGUCAGCUCGUGUUGUGAAAUGUUGGGUAAGUCCCGCAACGAGCGCAACCCUUAUCCUUGUUUGCCAGCCUUCGGGUGGAAC
rnacentral:rRNA from 1 species